CAGAAAACCCUUAGGGAAAGAAAAUUAGGGUUUGGGACGUUCUAACCCUAGCCGCCUCCUUUUCCUCUCUUCGUUCUUUUAAUUAAUACCCCCUGUCGCCUCCAACACGGCCGUGUCCCUGGCCGUGUUAAGGACACGGGCUGGUGUUCCUGGCCGUGUUACUCUCUGUGGCCGUGCUCCAUAAGAUCUACUUCUUCUUUGAUGUCCAACACGGCCGUGUUUGUUCCCGUGUUGGUAAUACGGCCUAUGUUUGUGACCGUGUUGAGAACACGGCCAGUGUUGAGACCAACACGGUCAUGUUCAGCUUCCUCAUGCUCGUACUUAGCUCGUUUCGGGAGCUUUGACGUCCAAUUAUGCUCCAAUUCUUUUCUUUUUCAUUCUUUGACUUCUUUUGGACCUAAUGCACACAAACAUACGCAUAGGGUGAGUGUUGGUACCAAUUUACAUCCAAAUAUCCAUAAAAUCGAUCUUAAAAACCCCAUUUAGAUGUGUGUAUUUUACGCACAUCAAAUAACCCCACACUUAGCUCAUUGCUUAUCCUCAAGCAAUCAAAAGUAAAAUAAGGAAAAUAAACUACUAAGAAACAACACUUAAACUGACAGACAAACUAGAGAGCUCCUGCACAUAUCCUUAAUAAGUGUAAGUCAAACAGAAAGAAACAAAGCAAUCAAUUCAAGUAUCACAACCAAGAUGCUAUUGAUUCACAAAAUACUAUCUCAACAAAAUUAUUUAGAACCAACUCCUCACCAGAUUCACUUUAAAUCACUCAAAGUGUUUAAAGGGGUAGUGUUUAAUCGCUUAAUGUAUCAACUACUGCCUCACUUACUAUAUGCUUGCUCUUAAAUCCUACUCCUACCACUUAUGGAGAGUCAACAACCAUGUCAAGAGGUCUUUAUAAGGGUUGUAAUGGGGAUUAGGUAGGGGUAGGUAAAUUUGAUAAGAUGUUGAACCUAUGGUGUUCUGCAAUGAAAUACAUGACAUGCACACAAGUCACCAUAAUCACAAGUGGUAAACAAUGGAUAGUAGUCCAAGGUGGGAAAUAGGAAUCAAGUCAAAAUGUUUAGUUCACUUACUUUCUUUCUUUUCAUCACCUUUCCCUCUUAUUCUUCUUUUUAUAUAUUUUUCUUCUUUUUUUUUUCAUAAGGGAAGAACAUUCAUAUAAUAGAGUGAAUUUCUUUUUGGAUUGAAGUAAGCUGCUACAAGAUUCCAAAGCUAUUCCCAAGACAAAAAUUCCCAAUAAAAACAACUCAUGUGCAAAAUCAUUACCCAAAGCAGAAUAAAACUAAUUGGCAAUGAAAUAUGAUAGAAAAUGGUGAAAGAGGGGGUUAUCUACAGAAUCAAUAAACGAAUGAAGGCUAUUUGGCUAGAAUGAAAAACCUAAGUGCCUCUAUUAUACCAAAGUGUUAAGCUCUCCUUGUGGCCCUCAUAAGCAUUACCGAGCAAGUUCUAAAAGUAAAGACAGUAAUUGGCACUCUCAACAAGAAAUAAAUAAAAGCAUAUAACGUGUAUGCUUACAAUUUAGGCUCAAUUUCUCACAAGUGUGCUUUUGAGUAGGUUCCAAACAAAAAUCAUCAAAACAGAAUUAAAAUAAACCAAAGCAACUUAGUGCAAAACUCAAACUAAUUAUUUUACAUUCUUCCGCAAGACUCAACACUAUCGGUUUUACCCUAUCACAUGGACAUAAACAGGAUUUCCAAAAGCAAGUCAACAGUAAGAGCAUCGAAACAAAGUGAAAAUUUUUCAAAAUUUUAACAAAAAAUUGCACAAAGAAUAAACGAAUAAUUAAGAUGGGAUAAAUAUCACCCACCCCACACUUGAAGGACACACUGUCCUCAGUGUACAAAAUAUAAGAAAUGCAAAAGGGAAAAGAACUAAUACUGCCCUGAUUAUUGCUCUAGAGUGAAAAGAGGUGCAUCAUUAGGGAUAUCAGGGCGCUGACUAGUCUGUGGUAAAGGGGUGGCUACAAAUAAUAAAAUAAGAAAUUAAAAUCAAAACUGAAAUAAAAAUUUAAUAAAAUAUGAAAACUAAAACUAAUAAAAUGUUUCAAAAUGAAAGGGUAAAAAAAAAAUGAAAAAGAAAUAAAAUAAAAUUUGGGGUGCCUCCCAGAAGCGCUUCUUUUUUAUGUGAUGAGUCUUUUUAGCUGGACUCAUGGUGAAAAGCAAAUGGUGGGGAUUGACGACCAUCCAUCCUUCUUCCAAGCAAAUGGCUUCAAGUAUCCGCUUAAAGGGAUAAUCGUCGACUUCCUCUUCCCGACUGUCAAGCGAGCUGCCAGUAUGAUGGGCAAAACUCGCUCCUCGUAUAAUUGAACGUAGUCAUGAUGCUCUAGGGGCUCUUCCAAUUUGAAAGCUGGAGUUUCAACAAUUGGAAGGAUCGAUGGUUAGGCAAUCUCUUCAGGAGUGUCGAUGGUUUUCUUCAGUCCCUGGCUUGGUUCACUUGCUAGAAGAAACUCGAGCUCCUCCAAGACUUCUUCAUUGGAUAACUCGUGCUCAUCUUCCAUCAUCGAAGGGACUUGUGGAAAAUCUACCAACAAUUCCUCUAACUGCAACUUAGCAUCAUCAGCUGUACAUUCCUGUUGAUAGUCUUUCAGAGGAAUUAUGUUCGCCUCUUCCUUUUCUGGUCCCAUCUCCAUGUUCAAGAAAUCAUCCUGCACAGAAGAAUCAUUGUCAAACAUAGUAGAUAAACCAAAAAAUUUCUCACCUGAACGCAAAGUGAUGGCGCUCAAAUGCUCCUCGGAUUCAGUAGCGUUUGAUGGAGUUCCCAAUUGCUCUUCAGCUAGUAACUUGAAGAUUAAGCCUACUUGAUGCUCUAUGUUGUUAAUCGAGGCUUGUUGAUCUUCAAGUAUCCUCUCUGUUUGUUGGAAUCUAUCCUCAAGACUUGCAAUAAACCUCAUCAUCAGCUCCUCUGACACUAACUCUUCACCUUGAGUUAAUGGUGCAAGAUUAGGCUACUGAAAUUUUGGUGGUUUUUGGCCAUCUAAGCUCCAUCCAAAGGGUGAAUGAGUGCUUAACUCUUGAUUGUAGGUGCUUCCAUACGAGUCAUUUGGCCAACUUCCCGUAUAAUUCACCUAUUCAUAGUUAUAAGAACAAUGAGCAACAACACUAUACAAUGGACAAUUAUUACUCAAAUGUAAACCACAACAAAAUUCACAAAAAACUUGAGAUGAAAGGAUAGGAGUGGAGAGUUGAUCGGUAGCCCUGCAAAACGAUUCCACUCGAGCUUCUAAAGAUGCACGCGUAUCCCAAUUUUUAGCACUCUCUUGGUUCCUGAUCCCAUUUUCCAACGUGUCAUACAAAGAGUUUGAAUUUAACAUUGAACCUCCUUAUCAUCCACUAUCUGAAUCAUAAACUUAACUAAAUAAAUAUGUACAAACAAAACAUAAAUAAAUAUAAAUAAAAAAUAAAAAUAAAAAUGGCUAAAUUANNNCCUAAACCUAAUAACCUAAGGUUGGAAUCUCUUCCUAACGAUUGAUUCUUAAAUUAGCAUUAAGCUUUAAUCCGCCUCUAUUAAGCUUUGUUAAUUCUUAAUCCGGCUAGUUAAUUAUCCUUAUCUCUAAGCGAUUAUUAACCAGUUCUUGCUAUUCAAAAUUCCAAUUGCCAAAUGGACUUCUCAAUCACACAAAGCAAUCUAAACACACAAUUCACAACGUCUCAUGAAUAAUGCAUUAUCUUAUUAAUACUGAAAACAAGAAGAAUACAAAAUUAACCCAAACAAUCCAACAAUAUAAUAUCAAGCCAACAUAGUAAAGAAAUCCCAAUGGACUUAAUCAAUCUAGCUAAUCAUGUUCAUUCUCAAAAUAUACAAGAAUUCAAUUACAACAAUAAGCAAAGGUAGAGAAAACCCGAUUACACCCUUGGAUGAGAGUAAACAGCCCCAAAUCCUUUUGCUCCAAUUGAAUCGAUUCUUGUUCCUCUUGCUCGAUUUGAAUAUCAAUCAACGAACCUCGCCCAAUCUUCGAUCCUUCAAGGGAAUCUGAUUGAAACCUUGAUCCAAGUCUCCUUUUCCCUUGGUUUCAGCUCAGAAAACCCUUAGGGAAAGAAAAAUUAGGGUUUGGGACGUUCUAACCCUAGCCGCCUCCUUUUCCUCUCUUCGUUCUUUUAAUUAAUACCCCCUGUCGCCUCCAACACGGCCGUGUCCCUAGCCGUGUUAAGGACACGGGCUGGUGUUCCUGGCCGUGUUACUCUCUGUGGCCGUGCUCCAUAAGAUAUACUUCUUCUUUGAUGUCCAACACGGUCGUGUUUGUUCCCGUGUUGGUAACACGGCCUGUGUUUGUGACUGUGUUGAGAACACGGCCAGUGUUGAGACCAACACGGCCAUGUUUAGCUUCCUCAUGCUCGUACUUAGCUCAUUUCGGCAGCUUUGACAUCCAAUUAUGCUCCAAUUCUUUCCUUUUUCAUUCUUUGACUUCUUUUGGACCUAAUGCACACAAACAUAUGCAUAGGGUGAGUGUUGGUACCAAUUCACAUCCAAAUAUCCGUAAAAUCGAUCUUAAAAACCCCAUUUAGAUGUGUGUAUUUUACGCACAUCAACCCCCAAAAAACCAAACUCUGCCUUACGUAAAGUUGCUAGAGUAUGAUUAACCUCUGGAUUUGAAAUCACUGCUUAUAUACCUGGUAUUGGCCAUAAUUCACAAGAACAUUCUGUAGUCUUAGUAAGAGGGGGAAGGGUUAAGGAUUUACCCGGUGUGAGAUAUCACAUUGUUCAAGGGACCCUAGAUGUUGUCGGAGUGGGUUGUAGAUUCUUAUCUAAGACUUGUAUCAUUUGAUGAUGCCAUGUGAAUCGCUAGAAACAUGUAAAGUAUAUGGCUAACCCAAUAAUGAAAGUUUCGUAAGGGAACUGGAGCAGGCUACCGUGAGACAAAAGAUCUUCUUUCUAAAGAGAUUCAAUUUGGAACUGUUAUAUGUCCAAGGUCCAAUAUUGGAAUAAUUUCAGAGGUUUUCCUUGACUUUGUCCGUGUCAACAAACAAUUCGAAAUGCCUCAACUUUUUUAGAACAGGUCCGGGUCAAAUAGCAAUGAUUCGAAGCACUUCUUUUUACACUAUUUCG
rnacentral:lncRNA from 1 species